rnacentral:misc_RNA from 1 species
AUGAGAAUAGGGGGCCGGAUUAUAUCCGCCCCCGACCUUUCGAUCCACACACACCUGUGAACACACACAACUAUACCCGCCUAGCUUCGGCCAAGGUGUGGUAGUCACUUUAUUAACACGGUUAUUGAGUGUAAAUACAAAUCCUCCAAAGCGGGGUGAAAGUUAAAUA